GCAAAAUUGGGAAGGGCCAUAAUCAAGGUUAUGUGUAACUCCAGUGUUUUAUGAGCUUGAAUCUACAUUUUAACUAAUGUGGCUGGUAAAUCUUAGCACUUGUACUUGAUGGUGGAAGCUGGUCUUUCUAGUUAUGACCUAAGGAAUCCAUUUCUCUUCAUGCUGAUAAAAGUUGAUUUCAUAGAAGAUGCUACAUGUGACUGCAAAUCUUGCUUCAGAAGCAUCACUGAUGCAGCUUUUGAUAGGUGACGUGCUAUCUCUUUAAGAGGACAACCACAAGCAGUAUUCAGUCUCUCCUCUUCAGACACCCUCCAGCAGGUAUCACUGUGUUCCCUACAGGUGAAAGGAAUUUGUCUGAAGCUCCAGUCACUUGGUUACAGAAAGCUCUGCAGGAGUUUAAAAAAAAGUCAGCCAGUGGUAACUGAUGUUGUGAAAACCACAAAGAUGCUUGUAUCUUCUGUGUGAAUACUUACAAAAAAUAACCUGGAAACUUGGCACAAAAAGAGGUAUUUCAGUUGUUUUGUCAUUUGAGUUUUGGAGAUCUGUCCAGUUCCCAGAUCCAGAGUUUCAUGAAAUGCAAACGCACACGAAAUACUAUAACAUGGCACCUGAAGUAGGUCCUUCCUGGACUGCUCCCCCUGCUUCUUCAUCCCCAGACAUCUUGUCCCUGGAGGGAAUUCACUGCAUAUUGCCUUGGGCUGCAAUUACCUGCUUCAAGCUCACACUGGUCUUCCUGUCCAUUUUUAGCUGGCUGUCCCUGGUGCUUGGCUCCAUCCCUGGGCAGCAGCAGCCGUAACUGCGGGAGGCAGCAUGUGGUGGGACAGAACUGGGGAACCUUUCAGUAGCCUCCAGUUUCCUCCAGAAUUAGUUCCCUUCUCAAGGUGCUCUUGUUCCAGAUCUGCCAUGAGGGGUACUUGUGAGUUAUCCCUGUGCGAUUGACUAUGCAAAGAAGAAUGCAAGACAAUUAAAUUUAGGCUUAUUUUUUAAUGGGAAGAAGUGUUAAAUCACCAUGAAGUUUUGUGGAGCUGCUUCAAUUGGCCCAAGGAAUGAGCCUGGACAAAAUUUGAUGUUAGUUUUGAAAUUCUAUACUUUCAAGGGUGUUUCUAUCUCAUUAACACAACGUGAUCUUUCUGUGCACUUCAUGACACUGUAUUUUUGCUGUCCAACUGGGCUCUCGUCAAUGGGAUUGUUGUGCUCUCCCCAGUGAAAUUGUAAGCAUUCAUGCUUGCAGCAGAAGUUUUACCAAGCAUCUAUUCAUAUCGUAAUGGAUUAUUGACAUAACACAGCAGACUGUUAUGAAGUAUUCCACUAUGUGUAAUUAGAGAGUAUUUAAUCCGCAUAAUAAAAAUCCAUAUGAGAAGUUGUUGUAAUUCA
rnacentral:lncRNA from 1 species